rnacentral:lncRNA from 1 species
ACCUCGUCCUCUGAAAAUGGUUGUAGUUCAAUAUUCUUCAAAACCUUUAAAAUCAAGAUCUUAGCUUAUUCACCUCUCCUCUAGAGAGAGUGAUAGGAACAUGAUACAUAGAUCCGAGUCUUAAUCUGACCUACCUGACUACUAAGUGUGUAACUUUUCUAGCUUCUGUAAUUGCCUCUAGCUCUUGUUAACAUCUUACUCAAAAGGUUGUUGUCAAGUUUAAGCUAGCUAAUAUACAUAAAGAAUUUCAUAAACCACAGUAGUCUUCUGUUGCCUUGUUAGAAUAUUGUAAUAUUUCUUUCUUUUCUCCCUUUUAUUUUUUUCAGUUCUUGAAGGACUGCCAAUCCUUGGAUGAAUAUGAAGGGCUGCCAGUUUCUGGGAAGAGUGAACUAUCUUCGGACUAAUUUCAAUGAUAUCUUCAUGGUCAGUAAGUCUGGGCUUUGAAACACUGUCUUGCAAAUUUAUGCACAUAUUUCAGCUUGAGAAGAUAGUUGAAAUUGAGUGAGAC